UUAAGAUCUAAUUUCUUUUAAUCCAAAGUUCAAAAAAUAACAUAAUGAAGCUGAUUUCCAUCCUUGCUCUUCUAUGCUUCCUUCUCCUCAGUUCUACAUCCUCUGGGAGCAAUUUGGAGGGGAAAUGCACUGAGACGCUAUGCUAUGUGGGGAUAAAAAUGGAGAAUUGUAAGAUAGGGGAAUGCAUGGUCAAUUGUGCAAAGACUUAUAAAUCUACUAUUUUUGGAGAAUGUCCAUCACAUGAUAGGUGUUUUUGUGGUGUUUCUUGUUGUGUUGAGAAAGCUAAUUAUCAAACCCUUGGGUAAUUUGUACUAAACAAAAUUAUCAAUCAAACAAGAAGUUAAUCUUAAUUUGACA